CUUUAACAUUUUAUUUUUUACAAAGAUAUUUGAUAAAUAAGCCCAAAUUCUAUGUCUCUGGAAUCUGCAUACUUAAUCUCACCUUUUUAACUUCUAUAGUUCCUAAGAUCGAUUUGUUCAUACGGACGGACGGACAUGCCGAGAUCUUAUCAAGAAAAUAGGCCCGGUCGUUUCCUUCCACUUGUUACAUACUUUUCAAAGAAUAUAGUAUAAACUUUUGCUCCAUAACGAUCGUUUCUACGAAGCUGCGGUGAACUUGGCCGACGGCAUCAGGUUGCAGGUUCCACGGAGCAGCACACGCGUCCACAAUGAUCGAUGUCAUGCUCCUGCCAGCUGUCCGCUGCUUGCGUCUCCGGAGUGGGAGGGGUGGGCAGGGGGUUGGAGCUGACCCUCCCAGGUAGGAGAAGCAUGCCCCUAUAUAUCACACGGCCUUAUCAACUAGACAAGUUUCGCACUAAUUCGUGAGUAAUUUUUUGUACAUUUCAUGCGAAUAUUUCACACCACGGCACACUGCUUGCUUGGCACUGCUUGGCCGGGCAUUGGGGUGGACCAAAAAUAUUAUGACAUGGCAAAUAAAAAGAUUUGUGCGACAUAAUUCUUCCGUUGGCCACUAAACGAGGCUAUAAAGAUAAACCGAAAAAGGACCUGGAAGCAACAGGCGAAGCAUAAAAAAUGGAUUUGAACCGCUGUUAAUGUAAAAAAAACAGACGAAGAGAGCAACAAACAACAAAUAUGCUUUGUUAGACCAAAAGGUGGAAUAUUCAGGACAUUCGCUUAAUUGUUGCAACAUUUGCUGGCCAGCAAUUAUUUGAUAAGACGACUCACAUUCGAGCACAGGAGCAAUAAAUUCACUACCCGCAAAAUAAAUUAAAUAAGAAACUGGCAAAUGUUUAGUAGUUACUACCACGCCAGCAACAAAAAAAGCAGACUGGAAAAUUUUAAAAAACUUUUGUUUACUUUCCUGUGGGAAACAGUUGUGCAGUGAGCAACCAAAA